CCCUGUUUGUUUGACGUCUGAUUCUGAAUCACAUUCAGACAAUUUGAUUAGGAGAGGAGUUAUCAAUAACAAUGGUAACCUUUGUAUAAGAGGAUGCAUAAUGGUUGAAGAUAAUGUUAUUGAAAGGUCGUGGUCUUUGACUCUUUGGUGGCAAAUCGGUUAGGCUUUGAAUUUGUGAGUCACGAUUCAUUUUAUAAGUAUCGGAUGGAAUUUGGUGCUUUAGGUGGUUUUCAAAAAGAUAUUUCCUUUUAUUGAACAUUGUGUAGACUUCUACGGUAUGAACAAUAUAGACAUAACACUAUGGUUGUAUUUUUAAUGACAAGGAUGAAAAUUUGCAAACUUUAAGUGAGAAGAUUGAGC
rnacentral:lncRNA from 1 species